GAGCGAACGGACGAGAAGCUUGCUUCUCUGAUGUUAGCGGCGGACGGGUGAGUAACACGUGGAUAACCUACCUAUAAGACUGGGAUAACUUCGGGAAACCGGAGCUAAUACCGGAUAAUAUUUUGUACCGCAUGGUUCAAAAGUGAAAGACGGUCUUGCUGUCACUUAUAGAUGGAUCCGCGCUGCAUUAGCUAGUUGGUAAGGUAACGGCUUACCAAGGCAACGAUGCAUAGCCGACCUGAGAGGGUGAUCGGCCACACUGGAACUGAGACACGGUCCAGACUCCUACGGGAGGCAGCAGUAGGGAAUCUUCCGCAAUGGGCGAAAGCCUGACGGAGCAACGCCGCGUGAGUGAUGAAGGUCUUCGGAUCGUAAAACUCUGUUAUUAGGGAAGAACAUAUGUGUAAGUAACUGUGCACAUCUUGACGGUACCUAGUCAGAAAGCCACGGCUAACUACGUGCCAGCAGCCGCGGUAAUACGUAGGUGGCAAGCGUUAUCCGGAAUUAUUGGGCGUAAAGCGCGCGUAGGCGGUUUUUUAAGUCUGAUGUGAAAGCCCACGGCUCAACCGUGGAGGGUCAUUGGAAACUGGAAAACUUGAGUGCAGAAGAGGAAAGUGGAAUUCCAUGUGUAGCGGUGAAAUGCGCAGAGAUAUGGAGGAACACCAGUGGCGAAGGCGACUUUCUGGUCUGUAACUGACGCUGAU
rnacentral:rRNA from 1 species